UACGUAGGGUGCAAGCGUUAAUCGGAAUUACUGGGCGUAAAGCGUGCGCAGGCGGUUGUGCAAGACCGAUGUGAAAUCCCCGGGCUUAACCUGGGAAUGGCAUUGGUGACUGUACGGCUAGAGUGUGUCAGAGGGGGGUAGAAUUCCACGUGUAGCAGUGAAAUGCGUAGAUAUCUGGAAGGAACACCGGUGGCGAAGGCGGCAUUCUGGACCGACAUUGACGCUGAGGAGCGAAAGCCAGGGGAGCAAAGCGGG
rnacentral:rRNA from 1 species